rnacentral:rRNA from 1 species
AGAGUUUGAUCAUGGCUCAGAUUGAACGCUGGCGGCAGGCCUAACACAUGCAAGUCGAACGGUAACAGGAAGCAGCUUGCUGCUUCGCUGACGAGUGGCGGACGGGUGAGUAAUGUCUGGGAAACUGCCUGAUGGAGGGGGAUAACUACUGGAAACGGUGGCUAAUACCGCAUAACGUCGCAAGACCAAAGAGGGGGACCUUCGGGCCUCUUGCCAUCAGAUGUGCCCAGAUGGGAUUAGCUUGUUGGUGAGGUAACGGCUCACCAAGGCGACGAUCCCUAGCUGGUCUGAGAGGAUGACCAGCCACACUGGAACUGAGACACGGUCCAGACUCCUACGGGAGGCAGCAGUGGGGAAUAUUGCACAAUGGGCGCAAGCCUGAUGCAGCCAUGCCGCGUGUAUGAAGAAGGCCUUCGGGUUGUAAAGUACUUUCAGCGGGGAGGAAGGUGUUGUGGUUAAUAACCGCAGCAAUUGACGUUACCCGCAGAAGAAGCACCGGCUAACUCCGUGCCAGCAGCCGCGGUAAUACGGAGGGUGCAAGCGUUAAUCGGAAUUACUGGGCGUAAAGCGCACGCAGGCGGUCUGUCAAGUCGGAUGUGAAAUCCCCGGGCUCAACCUGGGAACUGCAUUCGAAACUGGCAGGCUUGAGUCUUGUAGAGGGGGGUAGAAUUCCAGGUGUAGCGGUGAAAUGCGUAGAGAUCUGGAGGAAUACCGGUGGCGAAGGCGGCCCCCUGGACAAAGACUGACGCUCAGGUGCGAAAGCGUGGGGAGCAAACAGGAUUAGAUACCCUGGUAGUCCACGCCGUAAACGAUGUCUACUUGGAGGUUGUGCCCUUGAGGCGUGGCUUCCGGAGCUAACGCGUUAAGUAGACCGCCUGGGGAGUACGGCCGCAAGGUUAAAACUCAAAUGAAUUGACGGGGGCCCGCACAAGCGGUGGAGCAUGUGGUUUAAUUCGAUGCAACGCGAAGAACCUUACCUGGUCUUGACAUCCACAGAAUUUUGCAGAGAUGCGGAAGUGCCUUCGGGAACUGUGAGACAGGUGCUGCAUGGCUGUCGUCAGCUCGUGUUGUGAAAUGUUGGGUUAAGUCCCGCAACGAGCGCAACCCUUAUCCUUUGUUGCCAGCGGUCCGGCCGGGAACUCAAAGGAGACUGCCAGUGAUAAACUGGAGGAAGGUGGGGAUGACGUCAAGUCAUCAUGGCCCUUACGACCAGGGCUACACACGUGCUACAAUGGCGCAUACAAAGAGAAGCGACCUCGCGAGAGCAAGCGGACCUCAUAAAGUGCGUCGUAGUCCGGAUUGGAGUCUGCAACUCGACUCCAUGAAGUCGGAAUCGCUAGUAAUCGUGGAUCAGAAUGCCACGGUGAAUACGUUCCCGGGCCUUGUACACACCGCCCGUCACACCAUGGGAGUGGGUUGCAAAAGAAGUAGGUAGCUUAACCUUCGGGAGGGCGCUUACCACUUUGUGAUUCAUGACUGGGGUGAAGUCGUAACAAGGUAACCGUAGGGGAACCUGCGGUUG